rnacentral:rRNA from 1 species
AGUGAACGCUGGCGGUAGGCCUAACACAUGCAAGUCGAACGGCAGCACAGGAGAGCUUGCUCUCUGGGUGGCGAGUGGCGGACGGGUGAGGAGUACAUCGGAAUCUACUCUGUCGUGGGGGAUAACGUAGGGAAACUUACGCUAAUACCGCAUACGACCUACGGGUGAAAGCAGGGGACCUUCGGGCCUUGCGCGAUUGAAUGAGCCGAUGUCGGAUUAGCUAGUUGGCGGGGUAAAGGCCCACGAAGGCGACGAUCCGUAGCUGGUCUGAGAGGAUGAUCAGCCACACUGGAACUGAGACACGGUCCAGACUCCUACGGGAGGCAGCAGUGGGGAAUAUUGGACAAUGGGCGCAAGCCUGAUCCAGCCGUACCGCGUGGGUGAAGAAGGCCUUCGGGUUGUAAAGCCCUUUUGUUGGGAAAGAAAUCCAGCUGGCUAAUACCCGGUUGGGAUGACGGUACCCAAAGAAUAAGCACCGGCUAACUUCGUGCCAGCCGCCGCCGUAA